rnacentral:rRNA from 1 species
GACGAACGCUGGCGGCGUGCUUAACACAUGCAAGUCGAACGGAAAGGCCCUGCUUUUGUGGGGUGCUCGAGUGGCGAACGGGUGAGUAACACGUGAGUAACCUGCCCUUGACUUUGGGAUAACUUCAGGAAACUGGGGCUAAUACCGGAUAGGAGCUCCUGCUGCAUGGGGGGGGUUGGAAAGUUUCGGCGGUUGGGGAUGGACUCGCGGCUUAUCAGCUUGUUGGUGGGGUAGUGGCUUACCAAGGCUUUGACGGGUAGCCGGCCUGAGAGGGUGACCGGCCACAUUGGGACUGAGAUACGGCCCAGACUCCUACGGGAGGCAGCAGUGGGGAAUCUUGCACAGUGGGCGGAAGCCUGAUGCAGCAACGCCGCGUGCGGGAUGACGGCCUUCGGGUUGUAAACCGCUUUCGCCUGUGACGAAGCGUGAGUGACGGUAAUGGGUAAAGAAGCCCCGGCUAACUACGUG